rnacentral:rRNA from 1 species
ACACCGGCAGCUCUAGUGGUAGCUGUUUUUAUUGGGCCUAAAGCGUUCGUAGCCGGUUUGAUAAGUCACUGGUGAAAUCCUGUAGCUUAACUGUGGGAAUUGCUGGUGAUACUGUUGAACUUGAGGUCGGGAGAGGUUAGCGGUACUCCCAGGGUAGAGGUGAAAUUCUGUAAUCCUGGGAGGACCACCUGUGGCGAAGGCGGCUAACUGGAACGAACCUGACGGUGAGGGACGAAAGCUAGGGGCGCGAACCGGAUUAGAUACCCGGGUAGUCCUAACUGUAAACGAUGCGGACUUUGUGUUGGGGUGGCUUUGAGCUGCUCCAGUGCCGAAGGGAAGCUGUUAAGUCCGCCGCCUGGGAAGUACGGUCGCAAGACUGAAACUUAAAGGAAUUGACGGGG